UCGUCACACUAUCAUUAACUGAAUCCAUAGGUUAAUGAGGCGAACCGGGGGAACUGAAACAUCUAAGUACCCCGAGGAAAAGAAAUCAACCGAGAUUCCCCCAGUAGCGGCGAGCGAACGGGGAGGAGCCCAGAGCCUGAAUCAGCAUGUGUGUUAGUGGAAGCGUCUGGAAAGGCGCGCGAUACAGGGUGACAGCCCCGUACACAAAAGCGCAUGUGCUGUGAGCUCGAUGAGUAGGGCGGGACACGUGGUAUCCUGUCUGAAUAUGGGGGGACCAUCCUCCAAGGCUAAAUACUCCUGACUGACCGAUAGUGAACCAGUACCGUGAGGGAAAGGCGAAAAGAACCCCGGCGAGGGGAGUGAAAAAGAACCUGAAACCGUGUACGUACAAGCAGUGGGAGCACAGGUUUACCUGUGUGACUGCGUACCUUUUGUAUAAUGGGUCAGCGACUUAUAUUCUGUAGCAAGGUUAACCGAAUAGGGGAGCCGGAGGGAAACCGAGUCUUAAUUGGGCGUUAAGUUGCAGGGUAUAGACCCGAAACCCGGUGAUCUAGCCAUGGGCAGGUUGAAGGUUGGGUAACACUAACUGGAGGACCGAACCGACUAAUGUUGAAAAAUUAGCGGAUGACCUGUGGCUGGGGGUGAAAGGCCAAUCAAACCGGGAGAUAGCUGGUUCUCCCCGAAAGCU
rnacentral:rRNA from 1 species